rnacentral:rRNA from 1 species
ACGAGCACGCCGCGUGAGUGUGAAGGUUUUCGGAUCGUAAACUCUGUUGUUAGAGAAGAACAAGGAUGAGAGUAACUGUUCAUCCCUUGACGGUAUCUAACCAGAAAGCCACGGCUAACUACGUGCCAGCAGCCGCGGUAAU